rnacentral:tRNA from 1 species
GCGCCUGUAGCUCAGGGGAUAGAGCAACGGUUUCCUAAACCGUAGGUCGGAGGUUCGAAUCCUCUCAGGCGUA